UUUAUGAUAAUAUUAUAAUUAAACGAAAAUGUAACACACGUUAUGAACAAUUAUAAUUAAACGAAAAUGUAACACACGUUAUGAACAAUCAAGUAUAUAACUUAAAUUGGUUCUAUCUGUAGGGUGAUGUUAUAAAUACUAUGUGUGGUUUUAGUAUUUUAAAUAGCCAGAUUAUCGAUGACGUGAUGUAUAAAAUCCACACGACUGGUUGUAUGAAAGCUAUAGAGAGAUGGUUUACUGACCAUAAUACAGUUAUAGCCAUGACAAUUAUAGCAGUCAUAACUCCUCAAAUUGUCUCAGUGUUAUUUGCCCGGCUUCUUAUUCAUUAUAUCAAAAAACAAAGAGCAAGAUGGCAACUUCUUCAUGGGUAAUAAUUAUAUAAUAAUAAAUGAUUAUUUUCACACGUUUGUUAGUAAUUUGUUCAACCAGAUGGAGUAUGGUGACUGACAAGAUAAGUUUACGAAAAAAUGGAAAAUAUUCAACCAAUCUGAUUAAAACACAGAUCAUAUUUCGUUUCGUUUUUUAUAGUUCUAAAUUUCGGUUUACUUGCCUUUACUACAUUAGGAUCUGGAAGAGUUGUUAUAUAAGCCGCGUUGAUGUUUGGGAUUAGCCAAUGAAACAGUCCGUUGCAGCGAGUUCUUGGCGUGCGAUGCACGGAACUGUCGGUAUCCUACUAGAAACAUCAACGCUGAUUAGUUAAUCAAAUGUCUGACGUUAUAUGGUCAAAAGUCGCUCGUUUGACCCCUGACGCGACCCCCCUCUACAACCGGUCAGAUCUUCAUAUAGUGGAGGCCAUCGAAAGUAUAAAAAAACGAAACGAAAUAUAGAUGUGUAUUUUAAUCAGAUUGAUAUUAAACUGUAAUGUUUU